AAGUCGUAACAAGGUUUCCGUAGGUGAACCUGCGGAAGGAUCAUUAAAGGUUUAGGGUACCCAGUGCCCAAACUUCAACCCUAUGUUUUAACUAAACUUGUUUCUUUGCCGGUUUCGACCGGCAGAAGUUUUCUUAAACUCAUUGUAAACGUGUCUUCUGAAUCAAAAAUUAAAUAAUUUAAAACUUUCAACAACGGAUCUCUUGGUUCUG
rnacentral:misc_RNA from 1 species